UACAGAGGGGGCAAGCGUUGUUCGGAAUUACUGGGCGUAAAGGGCGCGUAGGCGGCCUGUUAAGUCGAACGUGAAAUCCCCGGGCUCAACCCGGGAACUGCGUCCGAUACUGGCAGGCUUGAAUCCGGGAGAGGGAUGCGGAAUUCCAGGUGUAGCGGUGAAAUGCGCAGAUAUCAGGAGGAACACCAAUUGCGAAGGCAGCUCGCUGGGACGGUACUGACGCUGAGACGCGAAAGCGUGGGGAGCAAACAGG
rnacentral:rRNA from 1 species